GAUGAACGCUGGCGGCGUGCCUAAUACAUGCAAGUCGAGCGAACAGACGAGGAGCUUGCUCCUCUGACGUUAGCGGCGGACGGGUGAGUAACACGUGGAUAACCUACCUAUAAGACUGGGAUAACUUCGGGAAACCGGAGCUAAUACCGGAUAAUAUAUUGAACCGCAUGGUUCAAUAGUGAAAGACGGUUUUGCUGUCACUUAUAGAUGGAUCCUCGCCGCAUUAGCUAGUUGGUAAGGUAACGGCUUACCAAGGCAACGAUGCGUAGCCGACCUGAGAGGGUGAUCGGCCACACUGGAACUGAGACACGGUCCAGACUCCUACGGGAGGCAGCAGUAGGGAAUCUUCGGCAAUGGGCGAAAGCCUGACGGAGCAACGCCGCGUGAGUGAUGAAGGUCUUCGGAUCGUAAAACUCUGUUAUUAGGGAAGAACAAAUGUGUAAGUAACGAUGCACGUCUUGACGGUACCUAAUCAGAAAGCCACGGCUAACUACGUG
rnacentral:rRNA from 1 species